rnacentral:rRNA from 1 species
UACGUAGGGGGCGAGCGUUGUUCGGAUUUACUGGGCGUAAAGCGUGCGCAGGCGGCCUUGCAAGUCAGAUGUGAAAUCCCCGGGCUCAACCUGGGAACUGCAUUUGUGACUGCAUGGCUAGAGUACGGUAGAGGGGGAUGGAAUUCCGCGUGUAGCAGUGAAAUGCGUAGAUAUGCGGAGGAACACCGAUGGCGAAGGCAAUCCCCUGGACCUGUACUGAGGCUCAUGCACGAAAGCGUGGGGAGCAAACAGG